rnacentral:rRNA from 1 species
CACGUAGGCGGUCAAGUAAGUGUGAAGUGAAAUCCCACGGCUCACCCGUGGAACUGCUUUGCAUACUGCUUGACUCGAGGAAGGUAGGGGAGAGCAGAACUCUUGGAGGAGCGGUGAAAUGCGUAGAUAUCAAGAGGAAUACCAGUGGCGAAGGCGGCUCUCUGGUCCUUUUCUGACGCUGAGGUGCGAAAGCUAGGGUAGCGAACAGGAUUAGAUACCCUGGUAGUCC